rnacentral:rRNA from 1 species
GUGCCAGCAGCCGCGGUAAUACGUAGGGUGCGAGCGUUAAUCGGAAUUACUGGGCGUAAAGCGUGCGCAGGCGGUUCGUUGUGUCGGUGGUGAAAUCCCCGGGCUUAACCUGGGAAUGGCCAUGGAAACUGGCGAACUGGAGUGCGGCAGAGGGGGGUGGAAUUCCGCGUGUAGCAGUGAAAUGCGUAGAGAUGCGGAGGAACACCGAUGGCGAAGGCAGCCCCCUGGGCUAGCACUGACGCUCAGGCACGAAAGCGUGGGGAGCAAACAGGAUUAGAUACCCUGGUAGUCC